GACGAACGCUGGCGGCGUGCUUAACACAUGCAAGUCGAACGGAAAGGCCCUGCUUUUGUGGGGUGCUCGAGUGGCGAACGGGUGAGUAACACGUGAGUAACCUGCCCUUGACUUUGGGAUAACUUCAGGAAACUGGGGCUAAUACCGGAUAGGAGCUCCUGCUGCAUGGUGGGGGUUGGAAAGUUUCGGCGGUUGGGGAUGGACUCGCGGCUUAUCAGCUUGUUGGUGGGGUAGUGGCUUACCAAGGCUUUGACGGGUAGCCGGCCUGAGAGGGUGACCGGCCACAUUGGGACUGAGAUACGGCCCAGACUCCUAAGGGAGGCAGCAGUCGGGAAUAUUGCACAAUGGGCGGAAGCCUGAUGCAGCAACGCCGCGUGCGGGAUGACGGCCUUCGGGUUGUAAACCGCUUUCGCCUGUGACGAAGCGUGAGUGACGGUAAUGGGUAAAGAAGCACCGGCUAACUACGUG
rnacentral:rRNA from 1 species